UUUAGAAUUCCAAAUAUGGGAUGAACAUUGAACAUUGUCCAGGUUGUAGACAAAUUCAGACUCCUUUUUUAUUGCUACAAUUUGAACUUAAAAGUAGUAGUAUUGAGUCUUGAGAUAUUCAUGAAUAUUUUAGGCCUGUAUUUUAUCUUUCUAUA
rfam:Populus trichocarpa scaffold_4_contig_370, whole genome shotgun sequence.